UGGAGAAGAUAUUCCUCAAAUCACUCACAGUCACAUGAAGUUGUCUGACCUCUACAAGAAAAUUCACAUGAAGACUGACGUAGAUCAGGGGCUUGGAGGUGCUAGCCUGCAAGCAACUUUAUCGACUGAUCUCUUCUUUUUUCUUCAAGCACCUUAGAUGCUCCAAAGGAUGAAAAAAUUUAGAGGAGGAAGAGAGGAGGAGAAGAGCUCUGAUAAAAUAAAAACUAGCAAGAGAAUUGAUGUACGAUGCCAAGAAUUGGGGACCCCUUUUUAUAGGCAAAGACUAAGGUUUUUCAUCCAAGGGAAGGGC
rnacentral:lncRNA from 1 species